rnacentral:tRNA from 1 species
AGGCUUGUAGCUCAGGUGGUUAGAGCGCCACCCCUGAUAAGGGUGAGGUCGGUGGUUCAAGUCCACUCAGGCCUACCA